AAAUAAUUCCCUGCCGUAUCAUAUUAUUAAAUUCAUUGCAAUCUUUUCUAGUGUGUGAAGCAUCAUCACACCAAAUGCAUCUUUGUACAUAUCCUUGUUUUGAAACAUUCUUCGAAUUGUUUAUAGAAGUAUUCUCUUCAAGUCUUGCCAAUUUGAUUUGAAGAUCUCGCAUUUCUUGUAUAAUUUCUUCCAUACCCAUAUCUGCUUUCUUUGACAAGGAUGUCGAAGGUUGAACUGUGGGCAUUGUUGGUGGUGUUGUACGUACUGGAGCUUUGGGUGCUUGUAUUGUUUUCAGAAUAUUGCUCCUAUCCUUCUUCCUUUCUUUUUUUGUAAGCAACCCCACCGCAUCUUCAACGUUCUUCCACUUCGUUGUCAAUCCUUCAUCUUCU
rnacentral:lncRNA from 1 species